rnacentral:rRNA from 1 species
GACGGGGGAUGCGAGCGUUAUCCGGAAUGAUUGGGCGUAAAGCGUCUGCAGGUGGCAGUUCAAGUCUGCUGUCAAAGACCGGGGCUUAACUUCGGAAAGGCAGUGGAAACUGAACAGCUAGAGUAUGGUAGGGGCAGAGGGAAUUCCUGGUGUAGCGGUGAAAUGCGUAGAGAUCAGGAAGAACAUCGGUGGCGAAGGCGCUCUGCUGGACCAUAACUGACACUCAGGGACGAAAGCUAGGGGAGCGAAUGGG